GACGAACGCUGGCGGCGUGCUUAACACAUGCAAGUCGAACGGAAAGGCCCUGCUUUUGUGGGGUGCUCGAGUGGCGAACGGGUGAGUAACACGUGAGUAACCUGCCCUUGGCUUUGGGAUAACUUCAGGAAACUGGGGCUAAUACCGGAUAGGAGCUCCUGCUGCAUGGUGGGGGUUGGAAAGUUUCGGCGGUUGGGGAUGGACUCGCGGCUUAUCAGCUUGUUGGUGGGGUAGUGGCUUACCAAGGCUUUGACGGGUAGCCGGCCUGAGAGGGUGACCGGCCACAUUGGGACUGAGAUAGGGCCCAGACUCCUACGGGAGGCAGCAGUGGAGAAUAUUGCACAAUGGGCGGAAGCCUGAUGCAGCAACGCCGCGUGCGGGAUGACGGCCUUCGGGUUGUAAACCGCUUUCGCCUGUGACGAAGCGUGAGUGACGGUAAUGGGUAAAGAAGCACCGGCUAACUACGUG
rnacentral:rRNA from 1 species